UUAAGUUCAGCGGGUAGUCCUACCUGAUCCGAGGUCAACUUUUUGGGAGUGGCGCUAUUGGCGCUAUAGGGCGAGAGGCAAAACCGCGCUACGGCCGCCGGAGCGUUAAAGUUAGGUAACUACUGCGCUCAGGGCCGGACGGGUCCGCCGCUAAAUUUGGGGGCCUGCGGGAGGGCCGCAGCGCCCCAACGCCAGACACG
rnacentral:misc_RNA from 1 species